GUGCUCGCUUUGGCAGCAUAUAUACUAAAAUUGGAACGAUACAGAAAAGAUUAGCAUGGCCCCAUGAAAAUUCGUGAAGUGUUAAAAAAAAGAACAUUUAUUU
ensembl:snRNA U6 U6 spliceosomal RNA